UACGUAGGGGGCAAGCGUUGUCCGGAAUUAUUGGGCGUAAAGAGCUCGUAGGCGGUUUGUCGCGUCUGCUGUGAAAACUGGAGGCUCAACCUCCAGCCUGCAGUGGGUACGGGCAGACUAGAGUGCGGUAGGGGGAGAUUGGAAUUCCUGGUGGUAAGCGGUGGAAUGCGCAGAUAAUCAGGAGGAACACCGAUGGCGGAAGGCCAGAUCUCUGGGCCGUAACUGGACGCUGAGG
rnacentral:rRNA from 1 species